rnacentral:rRNA from 2 species
CAUACCUAUUCGAAGGGAUAGGGUCGGUUUGGCCGGAUUUCACACAGGUGUUGCAUGGCUGUCGUCAGCUCGUGUCGUGAGAUGUUGGGUUAAGUCCCGCAACGAGCGCAACCCUCAUCCUUAGUUACCAUCAGGUUAUGCUGGGGACUUUAAGGAAACUGCCAGUGAUAAACUGGAGGAAGGUGGGGAUGAUGUCAAGUCAUCAUGGCCCUUAUGGAGUGGGCUACACACGUGCUACAAUGGUGAUUACAAUGGGCUGCAAGGUCGCAAGGCUGAGCUAAUCCUAAAAAAUCAUCUCAGUUCGGAUUGUUCUCUGCAACUCGAGAGCAUGAAGUUGGAAUCGCUAGUAAUCGUGGAUCAGCAUGCUACGGUGAAUACGUUCUCGGGUCUUGUACACACUGCCCGUCACGCCAUGGGAAUUGGUUUCACUCGAAGCU